UACGGGGGGGGCAAGCGUUGUUCGGAAUUACUGGGCGUAAAGGGCUCGUAGGUGGCCAACUAAGUCGGACGUGAAAUCCCUCGGCUUAACCGGCGAACUGCGUCUGAUACUGGAUGGCUUGAGUUCGGGAGAGGGAUGCGGAAUUCCAGGUGUAGCGGUGAAAUGCGUAGAUAUCUGGAGGAACACCGGUGGCGAAGGCGGCAUCCUGGACCGACACUGACGCUGAGGAGCGAAAGCCAGGGGAGCAAACGGG
rnacentral:rRNA from 1 species